CAGUAUUGAAAACAGGUAUCAGUAGAAGGCCAGAGUGAAUAUCCAUUGUUGGGCUUUGUUGUUCGAAAUAUAAAGAUACCUUCAAGUCAAGCUGGACUCCUGACUACUGUAGAGACAUGUCCAAUGCAGUCUUCUUAGUAACAGUACAGGAAUUGUUUGUCGUUGCUUUCUUAUGGGAUACUUCAAUUUUCCAGCCCAGGGUUUCUCCUUGUGCCCUGCAAUCAGUUUUGUUACUUGAACAUCCACAAACCAAAAUACUAUGCAAAGAAAUACUGAGGUAGGCUUUUAGAAUCUAAUCUUAAUCUCACUAGAGCAACUAUCCUAUAUUCCUUAAAAAGAAAAAAAGCUGGAAUAAAUUUGAAGCAUGUAUGGCAAUGCUAAGGCAGUUCAGCCUUUAUUCAGAGUGGAUGGCAGCAUUUUAAUAUCAUAAAUUGGGAGUUCAGUUUCCUUAUUUGCAAUGGCUGUAGUUGAUAUAGUUUACCAGAUACUAUUAUUCUGCUUUUUUAAAAAAAAGAAUACUUGUACAUGUCUAUUUACUACAUGUUAAAUUCUCUCUGAUUUAAUUAAAGUAUCUGUGUACCUUGCAGUGGAUUUUGAUAUUUCCACAUAUGUGGGAUCAACAAUAUUUUGUUUCUUCUUCACAGCAAUCUUUGAGAAAGUCCUUGAUGCAGCUAAGGGAACACACUCACAACCUUUGUACCUGAAGGGACUUAAUUGCAUGUCUGCAAAAUAUUCCUGCAGACCAGUUAAGACCAUGACCCGUUACAGACAUAAUGUAACCGCUUCUUCUCCCCCUUCCCCAAUUUUCUUUCUUGAUGAGCACUUGGAAAUUUAAAAACUGGCACAUCUUGUAAAGGUUUCAUUGGCCCAAUAAAAUUAAUGUGGAUAUU